UUGUGAGACUACCAGCGAAUCUCAAUUUGGGGAUUUUCUAAUGGAUGUUCAGAGCCAAUUGUGCUGCAAAGAAAUGAUUGAAAAUGCAGUACCUCUCCUCUCCCCUGCUGCAAAGGGCAAUCAGGGAGCCCAGAUCUACUUGUUUUGAACCUUCCAAUUUAAAGCCAAUUACAGGAUUUCUGAACACCUGCAGCCCAGAGGUCCCUGUGCCUGGACCACCCAGCUUUGCAGAUAUCUGAAUAGAUACAUGUGUCUUCAAUUUCUAAUGCAUUUUGCAAAAGCUGUUUCAAUUUCUUUAAACAGGCACUUGGUACCUUGAACGUUCACAUUCCUAAGCAUUGCGCUCUCCUGGAGCAUUCAUGUGCUUUUUGUGUGCUUGAUGGAGAGGCUGCUGUCACUCGGUCAGAAGGCAGGUGAGUUUACAUCUUGUGUGCAUGGCAGCCACGUGCCUUCAUUGCCAGACAUGGCCCAUGGGGAAUUCAGAAGCUUCCUACUCGACAAAGCCCCACUGAUGAGACAGAUCGUGAAUCACACAGGAUUCAUGUAUGGCUGUGGGUGUUGGAUGUAAAAACGCAGAGCACUUAACUGAGGGAAGGUAGAGGGUCUCAGAAGAGCAAAGAUGGAGUGGUUGAAAAUUUGGGACUGAACAUAAAAUCUCCAUGAACAUAAAAUCUCAUCCACUUCAGCUCGGGUGGAUGAAUCGGUUACACUGAAGUUUGUGGUGAAACCAGAACCAGAAGAGCAGUCUUGGGACUCCUACAACCCAGCAAGCAUCACACUUUCCCCUGGUUAAUCCAUCUUCCUCUGAAUCAUUUAUGGAUGUUUGGAGACUGCUGACAAAGUUCAGAGGCAUUAGGCUGGAGAAGAAAGCGCGGAGAGGCGUUGUGUGUGCUGUCAGCCCCCGGCGGUGUGUCCAUCUGCUCUCAUGCGCUAACGAAGGCCUGCUGCGCUGGGCCUUUCAGGGAGCCCCCACCUUUAAGGCCUUUUGCAUUAAUCUUUAAUACGCUCUUUGUGUGCUUGUCAUGUAGGAAUGCAAAGACUGAAAAUAAGCUUCUCGGCCAAUAUGGUGCGUAUUAGCUGGCUUCUACUUCAGGCUGUGGGACAAAUCCACCAGAAGAGCCCAAUUUUUGCAAAAUUUGCCAUUUUGCAAAUUUUUUCCAAGCAGGAGAGGGGAACCUGUCAGCACCACGAGGGAUCUCAUCCUGUGUUUUUUAAUCCCUUAUUUGUUUGAUCUCUCAAGUAAGACGUAGUUCAUGAGGGAAGUUCACAGGGGAGGCCCAGCGAAGCUGCU